AGUUUGAUCCUGGCUCAGGAUGAACGCUAGCUACAGGCUUAACACAUGCAAGUCGAGGGGCAGCAUCAUCAAAGCUUGCUUUGAUGGAUGGCGACCGGCGCACGGGUGAGUAACACGUAUCCAACCUGCCGACAACACUGGGAUAGCCUUUCGAAAGAAAGAUUAAUACCGGAUGGCAUAGUUUUCCCGCAUGGGAUAAUUAUUAAAGAAUUUCGGUUGUCGAUGGGGAUGCGUUCCAUUAGGCAGUUGGCGGGGUAACGGCCCACCAAACCAACGAUGGAUAGGGGUUCUGAGAGGAAGGUCCCCCACAUUGGAACUGAGACACGGUCCAAACUCCUACGGGAGGCAGCAGUGAGGAAUAUUGGUCAAUGGACGAGAGUCUGAACCAGCCAAGUAGCGUGAAGGAUGACUGCCCUAUGGGUUGUAAACUUCCUUUAUACGGGAAUAAAGUUAGCCACGUGUGGCUUUUUGUAUGUACCGUAUGAAUAAGGAUCGGCUAACUCCGUGCCAGCAGCCGCGGUAAUACGAAGGAUCCGAGCGUUAUCCGGAUUUAUUGGGUUUAAAGGGAGCGUAGGCGGGUUGUUAAGUCAGUUGUGAAAGUUUGCGGCUCAACCGUAAAAUUGCAGUUGAUACUGGCGACCUUGAGUGCAACAGAGGUAGGCGGAAUUCGUGGUGUAGCGGUGAAAUGCUUAGAUAUCACGAAGAACUCCGAUUGCGAAGGCAGCUUACUGGAUUGUAACUGACGCUGAUGCUCGAAAGUGUGGGUAUCAAACAGGAUUAGAUACCCUGGUAGUCCACACAGCAAACGAUGAAUACUCGCUGUUGGCGAUAUACGGUCAGCGGCCAAGCGAAAGCAUUAAGUAUUCCACCUGGGGAGUACGCCGGCAACGGUGAAACUCAAAGGAAUUGACGGGGGCCCGCACAAGCGGAGGAACAUGUGGUUUAAUUCGAUGAUACGCGAGGAACCUUACCCGGGCUUAAAUUGCAACUGACUGAACCGGAAACGGUUCUUUCUUCGGACAGUUGUGAAGGUGCUGCAUGGUUGUCGUCAGCUCGUGCCGUGAGGUGUCGGCUUAAGUGCCAUAACGAGCGCAACCCUUAUCGAUAGUUACUAGCAGGUCAUGCUGAGGACUCUAUUGAGACUGCCGUCGUAAGAUGUGAGGAAGGUGG
rnacentral:rRNA from 1 species